AUCGACGAAAAAAUCCCCCACGCCGCCAUCGCUCCCCAGCCGCCGUCGUCGAUCCACCACCGUCGCUGCCCCCUGCCGCCGUCGAUCCACCGCAGACCUCCGCCGCCGUGCCACUAGCAGGAGGAAGGAGGCCGCCGUCGCAGAAGCUCGUCCUGUCGCCCUCCGUUGACCCCGAGGAUCCCUUCACGGCGGCGCAGUACGAGGAGUUGGAGCACCAGGCGCUCAUCUACAAGUACCUCGUCGCAGGCGUGCCCGUCCCGCCGGAUCUCCUCCUCCCCAUCCGCUGGGGCUUCGACUCCCUCGCCGCGCGCUUCUACCACCACCCCGCCCAUGACGUACUAUGUCGUCUACCACGGCAGGGUUCCUGGAGUCUACGAGGACUGGGAAGACUGUAGGAGGCAGGUCCACCGUUUCAGCGGCAACAGCUACAAGGGGUACACCACUUUGGAGGAGGCGGAAACUCGAUACGCCAACUUUCGAGCGGGACGAGAGGAGGGAGAUGUGGAGGACCCCUUUCAUCGUGAUGAUGCUUGCCGCUACCGCCUCUCUAGUUUACUAUGUCAUUGUUGUUUAGCUAGGUCGUCGACUGGACUUAUAUGUAUUUCUGUAACAUGUGCUACUUCGAGUCGUGAUGGUUGAACCAUAUGGUCGACACUUGUGUUAUUGAUGCAUGCAUGUUAUCGACAUUUCGGGACUUUCUAAUGAUGUGU